GGAAGAGAUAAGUGCUGAAAGCAUCUAAGCACGAAACUUGCCCCGAGAUGAGUUCUCCCUGAGACUAUAAGUCUCCUGAAGGAACGUUAAAGACGAUGACGUUGAUAGGCCGGGUGUGUAAGCGCAGCGAUGCGUUGAGCUAACCGGUACUAAUGAACCGUGAGGCUUAACCUUACAACGCCGAAG
rnacentral:rRNA from 1 species